GCUUCUGUAGAGUAGCGGUUACUCGUCCUGAUGUAAUGCACUAGCAGGAGAAUGCGUGGGAAGACGUGGGUUCGAAUCCCACCGGAGGCG